UACAUGCAAGUCGAGCGGACAGAUGGGAGCUUGCUCCCUGAUGUUAGCGGCGGACGGGUGAGUAACACGUGGGUAACCUGCCUGUAAGACUGGGAUAACUCCGGGAAACCGGGGCUAAUACCGGAUGGUUGUCUGAACCGCAUGGUUCAGACAUAAAAGGUGGCUUCGGCUACCACUUACAGAUGGACCCGCGGCGCAUUAGCUAGUUGGUGAGGUAACGGCUCACCAAGGCGACGAUGCGUAGCCGACCUGAGAGGGUGAUCGGCCACACUGGGACUGAGACACGGCCCAGACUCCUACGGGAGGCAGCAGUAGGGAAUCUUCCGCAAUGGACGAAAGUCUGACGGAGCAACGCCGCGUGAGUGAUGAAGGUUUUCGGAUCGUAAAGCUCUGUUGUUAGGGAAGAACAAGUGCCGUUCAAAUAGGGCGGCACCUUGACGGUACCUAACCAGAAAGCCACGGCUAACUACGUGCCAGCAGCCGCGGUAAUACGUAGGUGGCAAGCGUUGUCCGGAAUUAUUGGGCGUAAAGGGCUCGCAGGCGGUUUCUUAAGUCUGAUGUGAAAGCCCCCGGCUCAACCGGGGAGGGUCAUUGGAAACUGGGGAACUUGAGUGCAGAAGAGGAGAGUGGAAUUCCACGUGUAGCGGUGAAAUGCGUAGAGAUGUGGAGGAACACCAGUGGCGAAGGCGACUCUCUGGUCUGUAACUGACGCUGAGGAGCGAAAGCGUGGGGAGCGAACAGGAUUAGAUACCCUGGUAGUCCACGCCGUAAACGAUGAGUGCUAAGUGUUAGGGGGUUUCCGCCCCUUAGUGCUGCAGCUAACGCAUUAAGCACUCCGCCUGGGGAGUACGGUCGCAAGACUGAAACUCAAAGGAAUUGACGGGGGCCCGCACAAGCGGUGAGCAUGUGGUUUAAUUCGAAGCAACGCGAGACCUUACCAGGUCUGACAUCCUCUGACAUCCUAGAGAUAGGACGUCCCCUUCGGGGGCAGAGUGACAGGUGGUGCAUGGUUGUCGUCAGCUC
rnacentral:rRNA from 1 species